GUGAGGAAUAUUGCGCAAUGGAGGCAACUCUGACGCAGCCAUGCCGCGUGCAGGAAGAAGGCGCUACGCGUUGUAAACUGCUUUUAACCGGGAAGAAACCCCAGGACGUGUCCUGGGUUGACGGUACCGGAGGAAUAAGCACCGGCUAACUUCGUGCCAGCAGCCGCGGUAAUACGAAGGGUGCAAGCGUUAUCCGGAUUCAUUGGGUUUAAAGGGUGCGUAGGCGGAGCGUUAAGUAAGUGGUGAAAUCCUGCAGCUUAACUGUAGACUUGCCAUUGAUACUGGCGCUCUUGAGUGCGCUUGAAGUGGGCGGAAUUUGCCGUGUAGCGGUGAAAUGCUUAGAUAUGGCACAGAACACCAAUUGCGAAGGCAGCUCACUAAGGCGAUACUGACGCUGAGGCACGAAAGCGUGGGGAUCGAACAGGAUUAGAUACCCCAGUAGUCC
rnacentral:rRNA from 1 species